AGGGAGAAGGACAUCAUACUUGUAUUUCUGAGACUUCUGGAGUGGUCCCCAGGCUGCUAAAAUUGACACUGUUUCAGGUGUUUCAGGAUGGUUGCUGACAGCAGCCGAGAAACAUUUGGCACGGUGCAAGAAAAGAAGUGCAAAGGUGACAGUCUCCUUCCCUGGCUGGCUGGGCUGGUUCAGCAUCCACCACCUGCCAGCAGACCCAACACGCCAGGACGGCCCCCUCCUUGUCUUUAGAUUCAUCUGGACUUGAAAGGUUGUUUUUUGGUUUGAUUUUGUUUGCAACUGCAAGAAUAUUGGCCAGGUGCACCAUAUGUAGAAGCCACUACAUAGAAAAGCCUCCGAAUUCCACUGAAAUAUCUAUGGGUUCAGAUAUUUGUGUUCUUCAGCAUUUUAUGAAUUCAGAAACAGAUGGGCUAUGACCAGGAAGCAGUGGAGAACAGACUGGCGUAAAGCAGCCUGCCCUACCAGCAAUUCAACUACAACUGACUUAAUGAAGAGUAGAAGUAAGCAUGAAUCCAGACUUUCCAUGGAUCAUAAUAUUUGAGAACCCAGAAGAAUCAACAUGA